UUUUUUUUCAUUUUUAUGUGUGACUAGUUUUCAUAGAUAGUGAAAUGUAUAUUUCUAAAGUUGAAAGUGAUAAAGUGUAACCACUAACAAGGUUCAGGAGCAAAAGAAGGAAGUGAAGCAUGUUACAGGGGGGCGCAAGCAUAUCAUAUCACCAAAUGAAUAUGAGCUCCAGCGCUACUUAAAAUGGUCAACAACCAAAAGCAUCAAACAGCCUACAAAUAUAGAUGGAAAAGGACGAGCAAAUCCAUGGGCUGCCACAAAAUUAUUUAAUUUGUGCUAAAUGCGAGGAGGGCCACAUGGUCCUCACACCUGCCUUCGGCUUUAUCAGAGAAUUUAUGAGCAGGAGGCAAAGAAAAUCGCCAAAAUAGACCUAAUCCCGAGUCUUGGUAGGCCAGUAUACAAUUGAAUAAAGGAUAUUAACAGAUGAGUCCUGAAAACGGCACCUCUCUUUUUUCUCUUUUCUUUUUUUUUUUUUUUUGGGGGUCAAAUGCUCACAUCUUUUUAUUGUCACUCGUCAGGUUGCGAGCCGUAAUUCCAUUCCUAAGAAUCUAGCUCAAGUGGGUCUGUGAAAAGUGGAAACAAAUCUUGAUUCAACGACAUAUUAGUGGCUUGGGCAGAUAAUGGAGGCAAACGAAGGCGUCAGAUUGAACCUCAGGAAAAAGAACAACAUAAAGUCCAUGCAUACGACUGUUAAUUGAAUUUUUUAAGGCCAAGUAUCUUGGAUAGAAGCAGAAGAUAAAUUGGUACGAAGAGUGAGUGAAAAAUAUAUAAAUAUAUAUACAUGUACCAUGAGGGCGAGGCCGGUGACGGCGGCCCAAGAAUUUGCGAGGGUGGAGGCAGCGAGUUCAAGUUGUCCAAGAUGGCCGGCGAACAUGACGGAGACUAGAGGGAUCAAGUAGUAUGAAACAUUAGUCAGAAUCAUAGGUAGAGAAAACAAUAUCUGGUUCUUGCUUUCUCCCACGUCCAAGAUCUUGUUCCAACACCUGUCUCUUGCUGCUGCUGCUUCACCUUCGUUAUUAAUACUCCUUGACUCUGUUCUUCCUACUAGCAAGGGGCUAGUAUUUGCCUCUGAUUCUGAACCAGUAAUAUUUGAUUGCAUCUUUUUUAUGGUAAUACUAAUAUUUUGCCCUCUA